UACGUAGGGUGCAAGCGUUGUCCGGAAUUAUUGGGCGUAAAGAGCUCGUAGGCGGUUUGUUGUGUCGGCUGUGAAAUCCCGAGGCUCAACCUCGGGUCUGCAGUCGAUACGAGCAAACUAGAGUGUUGCAGGGGAGACUGGAAUUCCUGGUGUAGCGGUGAAAUGCGCAGAUAUCAGGAGGAACACCGGUGGCGAAGGCGGGUCUCUGGGCAACAACUGACGCUGAGGAGCGAAAGCGUGGGGAGCGAACAGG
rnacentral:rRNA from 1 species